CCCAAUUUCAAUUGCUUCCUUAUUCUGUUUUAGGGUAAGCAGAGAGAUUAGAUUAAACGACUUUUCUCAAAAUUCAUAAAACCAAACAAACCUCUGUUUAACCUUUGUUUUAACCCUGGCUUUUCCUCAUCACCUCUCUAAAUACUCUCACGCAGGUAAUCCUACGCUACCUCUCGACACAAUCCCGCUAAUCCUUUUGCCUUUUGAUAGCCUAUGCCAAUACUGUCAUCAGCACUGCAACAAAUUCACCAUUGAAGAAUCAUUUGGGACUAGGUGAAACAGUGAUUAGCAUGUCUGAACUGAUUGAAGGCCUUCCAGACGCCAUUGCUAUCAGGUGCAUUGCACGAGUUCCCUUCUAUCUCCAUCCAAAGUUAGAGCUUGUUUCUCGUUCGUGGCAGGCUGCCAUACGUAGUCCUGAGCUGUUUAAAGCUCGACAGGAGGUUGGUUCAACAGAAGAUCUGUUAUGUGUGUGUGCUUUUGAUCCUGAGAAUUUGUGGCAGCUAUAUGACCCUCUUAGAGACCUUUGGAUUACUCUUCCUGUUCUGCCCUCAAAAAUCAGGCACCUUUCCCACUUUGGUGUUGUCUCCACUGCUGGAAAACUGUAUGUGCUGGGUGGCGGAAGUGAUGCUGUAGACCCAUUGACUGGUGACCAGGAUGGAAGCUUUGCAACCAAUGAAGUGUGGUCAUAUGACCCAGUAUUACGACAGUGGGCCCCAUGUGCAUCCAUGCUUGUGCCCCGUGCGAUGUUUGCAUGCUGUGUUUUGAAAGGAAAGAUAAUUGCUGCCGGUGGCUUCACAAGCUGCCGAAAAUCAAUAUGUCAAGCCGAAAUGUAUGAUCCAGAGAAAGAUGUGUGGAUCUCAAUACCAGAUCUCCACCGCAGUCACAAUUCAGCUUGUUCUGGAGUAGUUAUUGGGGGAAAGGUGCACGUCUUGCACAAGGGCUUAUCAACAGUGCAAGUAUUGGACAAUUUAGGUUCUGGAUGGAUAGUUGAGGAUUAUGGUUGGCUCCAAGGUCCAAUGGCAGUUGUUCACGGGGCCUUAUAUGUGAUGAGCCACGGACUAAUUUGCAAGCAGGAGGGGAAAAGGAGGAAAAUAGUGGUUUCAGCAUCUGAGUUUCGAAGAAGGAUUGGAUUUGCAAUGACUGGGCU
rnacentral:misc_RNA from 1 species